AUUGAACGCUGGCGGCAUGCCUUACACAUGCAAGUCGAACGGCAGCGGGGACUUCGGUCCGCCGGCGAGUGGCGAACGGGUGAGUAAUGUAUCGGAACGUACCUUUCAGUGGGGGAUAACGUAGCGAAAGUUACGCUAAUACCGCAUAUUCUCUGAGGAGGAAAGCAGGGGACCUUCGGGCCUUGUGCUGAUGGAGCGGCCGAUAUCAGAUUAGUUAGUUGGUGAGGUAAAGGCUCACCAAGGCGACGAUCUGUAGCGGGUCUGAGAGGAUGAUCCGCCACACUGGGACUGAGACACGGCCCAGACUCCUACGGGAGGCAGCAGUGGGGAAUUUUGGACAAUGGGCGCAAGCCUGAUCCAGCCAUGCCGCGUGAGUGAAGAAGGCCUUCGGGUUGUAAAGCUCUUUCGGACGGGAAGAAAUUGGUGGGGCUAAUAUCCCCAUCGGAAGACGGUACCGUAAUAAGAAGCACCGGCUAACUACGUGCCAGCAGCAGCCGCGGUAA
rnacentral:rRNA from 1 species